CCUUCGAUAGCUCAGCUGGUAGAGCGGAGGACUGUAGUGCUUCCUGGCGUGGUUAUCCUUAGGUCGCUGGUUCGAUUCCGGCUCGAAGGA
rnacentral:tRNA from 1 species